CACGUAGUUAGCCGGUGCUUAUUCUUACGGUACCGUCAUUAGCCCCCUUUAUUAGAAGAGACCGUUUCGUUCCGUACAAAAGCAGUUUACAACCCGAAGGCCUUCAUCCUGCACGCGGCAUGGCUGGAUCAGGCUUCCGCCCAUUGUCCAAAAUUCCCCACUGCUGCCUCCCGUAGGAGUCUGGGCCGUGUCUCAGUCCCAGUGUGGCUGGUCGUCCUCUCAGACCAGCUACAGAUCGAAGGCUUGGUGAGCCUUUACCUCACCAACUACCUAAUCUGCCAUCGGCCGCUCCAUUCGCGCAAGGCCUUGCGGUCCCCUGCUUUCAUCCAUAGAUCUUAUGCGGUAUUAGCACAGCUUUCGCUGCGUUAUCCCCCACGAUUGGGCACGUUCCGAUGUAUUACUCACCCGUUCGCCACUCGCCGCCAGGAUUGCUCCCGCGCUGCCGUUCGACUUGCAUGUGUAAGGCAUGCCGCCACGCGUCUAAUACUGAGCA
rnacentral:rRNA from 1 species